UACGUAGGGGCGAGCGUUGUCCGGAUUUACUGGGCGUAAAGGGUGAGUAGGCGGUUAUAUAUGUCAGGUGUAAAAGGCUAUGGCUUAACCAUGGUUAGCACUUGAAACUGUAUGACUUGGGUGCAGGAGAGGUAAGUGGAAUUCCUAGUGUAGCGGUGAAAUGCGUAGAUAUUAGGAGGAACACCAGUGGCGAAGGCGACUUACUGGACUGUAACUGACGCUGAGUCACGAAAGCGUGGGUAGCAAACAGGAUUAGAUACCCGGGUAGUCCCUGAG
rnacentral:rRNA from 1 species